rnacentral:lncRNA from 1 species
AAUUACAUUUCGAUGUAUCUUGCUUUCUAUCGAGCAGGAUACCAAACAAUAAUAUUACAUAGAGAUGCAGUACCAACAAUAUUCACUCACAUAUCUCACAUAAGGUAAAGUUAUAACGACCAGAGCCGACACUAUACACUUCUAAAGAAAGUGAACAAGAGGAAAUAUUUUUUUUUUAUCACCAAAAGUCGGAAUUGUUCAGUGCUUCGUAGUCAUUGUAUUCUAACUAUAUUGAAUAAAAAUCUUAUAAAGAA